rnacentral:rRNA from 1 species
UGGGGAAUAUUGGUCAAUGGGGGGAACCCUGAACCAGCAACGCCGCGUGAACGAAGAAGGCCUUCGGGUUGUAAAGUUCUUUGACAGGGGAAGAUAAUGACGGUACCCUGAAAACAAGCUCCGGCUAACUACGUGCCAGCAGCCGCGGUAAUACGUAGGGAGCGAGCGUUAUCCGGAUUUACUGGGUGUAAAGGGCGCGUAGGCGGGACAGCAAGUCAGUGGUGAAAUAUCGGGGCUCAACCCCGGGGCUGCCAUUGAAACUGUUGUUCUUGAGUGAUGGAGAGGCAGGCGGAAUUCCCGGUGUAGCGGUGGAAUGCGUAGAUAUCGGGAGGAACACCAGUGGCGAAGGCGGCCUGCUGGACAUUAACUGACGCUGAGGCGCGAAAGCGUGGGGAGCAAACAGG